GUAAGUCUUGACUGAGGUUUUGAGGUUUUGCUCUGAAGUAUUUUACCAAAUCCAGAGCAUGUGGAAUUCCUGUGAGAAGUCAGGUACUCCACCCUGUCAAUAGAACAUAUACUCCACAGCUGCUCUAUUGCUGAGUGAAGCUCUCUGGAGGAAGGGAAGAAAGUUCAAUCUUUGUUCAGCCAGAAAGAUCAGACCCCUCCACAGAUGCAGCUGGGGGCUGUACACUGCCCUGCACAGCUGCAUCUGGCAUAAGCAGGCAGCUGGGAUCUGCCAGUGCAGCAGGAGCACAGAAAAUAGGAAUGACUAACACUUGCCACUCACACCCUUGCAUUACUUCCAGUUUGACUUAGACAAGACUGCCCUUUUCUGAUAUUUUGUCUUGCCACAUUCUCAGUCACUUACAGAGGGUAAUGAAUCUGACACGUUGAUUUUUGUUAUUUAUCAUUUUAUCUUUUAACAAAAGUCUGCAUUUGGUCCCCAGCAGGCAGUUUUAGGACAACUGAAAUGCUGUCUAAGCAAUCACAGAUGAGCUGGUUAUAUCACACAAAAGCCUUUUUGUGUCAUGACUAAUUUCAGACCCUCCCUGUUUCUUAUGCAGAUUCCAGCCUUGUUCCCUCAUGCACAGAGAAUUAAAUUCUAUGCCUGCAUUUCCUUCUAGAUUCUCCUCUGGGACACAAACUUAUUCAGACAAGCUCAGGAGACAAUAGAAAGACAUCACCAACAGCACUGGCUACCCACCCUGUAGAACUCCUUUGUAUUUCAGUGCAUGGCUAUCCCUGGCAUUGUAGGAGCCAACCUUCUUCCUGUAACUGCACUCUAGGUUAAUGGCCCUCUGUUUUUUUCUCUCCCCCUUUCCCAAGGAAAGUGUCCUGCUAGGAUAAAUUUGAGAUUGCACUCUCCUGCCCACACUGGGAUUUUACUUUUCUGUGUUGCAUGUUCUGGCUUUGGUAGGAGAAGCGACACCUGUGUCAGAUGCAGAAGGAGACAAGGCAACAAAAUGGAACAGUAUCUGGGGAGAAGAAGGCAAAUGGAGAAAGGCAGAAGUGAAAAGGAAGCAAAUAAUUAAUAGAGAAUUGGAGGAAAAACUAUUGCCCUCUGUAAUAUGGAGAAAACCCCCAACCUACAGUUUUCCUCUUGACAUUCAACUAAAUUUAAAUCACUAGUUUAAAAAAAAAGUCCACAUAUUAAUCAAGUGAUUAAUUUGUGA
rnacentral:lncRNA from 1 species